GUUCAAAUAUAACAAAUAUUUCAUUCAAAUUGAACAUAUAUAAUCCUGUUAUAAGAAUAAAUAGAACUCAUUAAACGACAUUGUAGCCAAAUUUUGUAUAAUUCGAAGGAAGAGCGCAGAUUCAAAUCUUUAAAAUUGUUUGUAUUAAAACUGUUAAAACCUAACAAAUAUUAUUUUGUUAAAUUUAGCAACAUAAUUCAAGUGGUACCAUAAUGAUUAAGUUUACAAUAACCCUUGCAAGAGAUCACAAGUUCAAAUCCCCAUUGUCCCUCUCCCUAUUGAAUUUUGAUAAAAAUAAUACACAACAAAUCCAUUGACAAGGGAUUCAAACAUGAGACUUCAAAUAUGUUUAUGCAAGCUCUAACCAACUGAGCUAUAAGGGAUGUUUGAAAUUAGAAUCAAUUACCUUUAAUAUAAGGUAAAGAUUUAAUCUACUGUUAAAAAAUAAAUAAAUUCUCCCAACAGACCCUAGCUUGCCAUCACCUAGAUCCGUCGUUGCUCAUGGCAUGUUGUGAAAGGGCACGAAGACAAGGUUUUGAAGUUGAAGAGAGCCUUUUAUAGUUUAGAACAAGUCUCAAGGGCAUAGAAAAGACUCGAUAAAUUUCUUCAAGUUGAUGGAUUUAUUUGUUUGAGACAAUUGGAAACUGGUUCCUAACAAGUUCUUAAUUAUCCUAGCUAUUUAACAUAUAAUUUUUAUUUUAGCUUGUAUGAACUAAGACUUUGCUAAAUUUGACAACAUUUCUCAAAAAUGGAAUUGGAUUAUUUAUUAGAAUUAGAUGCAAGCAGAAGUAUAAAGGGACAACAGAAAUUAAAAUUACAAAAAUAAAUUUUUCGAAUUGACCAUUUAGGUGGGUAACUGAAAAGAGAAUUCAAGUUUUAAUUCAAUAUUCAAAAUCAAUCAUCUUACUACAAAACCCUUAACUAGACUUUCAAAGCAAAACAAUCUAUAGAAAAUUUAUCUGUUUUGAUUAAAUUCCUAAUAAAAAUAUAGUUCCUAUUGGACAAAAUGAUAAAAGAGUAAUUAAUUAACAGUAAUAAAAAAUAAACAAUAAAAUAUGAUAUUAAACGGAAUCCACUUGUACCACUCACCUUGGAUUGGAAAAGAUUCAUCCUUGAAUCUUUUGUCGCUCAUCUAACACCUUAUAGGGACAGUGAUUUAGUUGAUACGUAAAUGACAUAGAUAUUAUCGCAGAUAUCUUGCCUCUAGAAAUCUUGAAAAACUUGAGCAACUAAUAGACUUUUUUCAUUUCUAUCCCAUUUUAUCCCUAAGAAAUCACCCAAAAAUUCAAGUCAUUGCGCUGCAAAAUUUUGGAAUUUCUAAAUGUUUCAAGAAGUGUAUUUGGUCCGAUUCAUAUUGUUGUCCCCAUGGAGGUUGCUCACAAAUCCCAUAACCAACGUCAGCCCCUCAAUUGCCAGAACACUAUCCAUCUUUAAAUUUUCCAUUUGCAAACUUAUCUACAAUCAGGCUCAUGACUCAACCCAUCAUCGCACCAGCCUUGUCAGUCAUAACACGCACGUCGUGACCACCACCUCAUGCCUCUUGCCCAUCGCCAUUGUUGUAUUUUGACCAAAAUUCUAGUUGAUAUUAGAGUUUUAGUUGAAGUGGUAUUGAAGAGAUCAAAGUAAUGAAAUGGGAAGAAAAGUCGUCGCAUUUUCACUAGCAUACCACUAGUUGGCUGAUCGAGCAGUAGGCGAACUUUUGAAGUAGGGAGUUGCAACUCAUCUAUUGCUUAGCGUCAUCUAGAAUUUUCUCCUUUUGUCUGUUUCACGCAUAUUUUAACCUACUUACCAACUUUUAGUUUUUUUUCUAGGAUUUCGACAUGUCCCCUAUAAAUAAUAGACUCUUCAUUUAUUUUAGAAGAAUUGCUGAAAUUGUCGUGACAAUAUUAUUUUCUCCAUUAGUUGUCAAAUAAAAUACUUGAUUCCUCAAUCAAUCUAUUUCUUGCUUUUAAUCUUGUUUUCUAUAUGCAAUCAUAUACUUCACAUGUGUCAUAUUCGCCUCCUUCAUUUCCAACAAGUGGUAUUGGAGCUCUUCUAUUUCAAUAAAUUAGUUUUAGAUAUAACUACAGCAAAAGUGGAUUUUUACGGCAUGAAUUUACGGCGCGCAUUUAUGACAUGCCGUGAAAGAAAACUAUUUACGGCAUGCGCUAUGUGUAUGCAGCAAAAAUACCAAUAACUCUACAUGUUUACGGCGUGCAUUUGUGCAUGUCGUAAAAUGUGAAUAUUCACGGCGUUCUUUUAGGGCAUGCCAUGUUUGUUAAAAAAAGUGAACUUAUUACGGCAUGCAUAUGCACGCCUUAAAUACAUUAACUUAUUACGGCGUGCAUAUGCACACCGUAAAUACCCUUUUUUCCCGCUCUUCCUUACCUUAUUUCGUUUUGUCCCAAUUGUUUUCCACCUUUUACGAAACAGGGCCAGCAUCUUUCGUCAAGGGUUUGAAGGAAUGGUGGCAGGAGAAGAGUUUGCAUAAUUGAAAUCUAGAGAGCUUUGUGAAAAAUGCUGAGUGUGCUUCAGUUGCACCUUCCAUCGGACAUUCCGAUCGUGGGGUGUGAGCUAACACCCUACGUGAUCUUGCAGCAGAAUAAGUCUUGCAUUCCAACUGAGGAUGUAACUGAGUUCAAUCCGCUUGAUGGCCAGUUCUUGAAAUACAGAUGGUUAGUUUCUUACAAUUGGUUUUUUCGUAUUUUUUCUUGUCGAAAAUAGAUGGGAGGUUGUAAAGUUGUGUGUUUUUUUUUUUUUUUUUUUUGGUUGCUUGAGAGCUGAUAUUUUACGGGGUUUACCCUUUCUUUUAGGGUGUUUUCUGCUGAACUAAACAAGAAGAACUAGAAGAUUUUGAUUGAGUUUUUCAAUUUUGAAUUGUUCUGGAGUUUUUUAUGUUUGUGCAGAUGGGUUUGUUUGGCAGCCGGAGAUAAAAAUGGUAAAAAAAACUGAAUUUCUUUUGGUUCAAUUUAUUACUGUUGGUAAAAAAAAAAUAAAAAAAAAAUUUAUUGUGUAGAAAACAUUGAUUUGUUAUUAUACAUAAGAAAUCCACCUUUAUUUUGCAGCUACGGAUGUUUGAGCUUUGAAGUGUGACAAACAAGAUUGUAAAGAAAGGGCCUUUUAUGCAUUGAGUUUUGGGUUUUAUUCCUGUGAGAUAGAAUUGCUGAUUGAGAUGAUUACAUUUAUAGAAUCUAAAGAGAAAAUGAUGGAAAAA